GCCGCGCCUACUCCGACGGGAGGAAAACCGGGUUCCCUUGCCCGGCUGGCGCGGCACCUGUUGCAAGGG
rnacentral:sRNA from 16 species